rnacentral:rRNA from 1 species
AGUGAACGCUGGCGGUAGGCCUAACACAUGCAAGUCGAACGGCAGCACAGUAAGAGCUUGCUCUUACGGGUGGCGAGUGGCGGACGGGUGAGGAAUACAUCGGAAUCUACUUUUUCGUGGGGGAUAACGUAGGGAAACUUACGCUAAUACCGCAUACGACCUACGGGUGAAAGCAGGGGAUCUUCGGACCUUGCGCGAUUGAAUGAGCCGAUGUCGGAUUAGCUAGUUGGCGGGGUAAAGGCCCACCAAGGCGACGAUCCGUAGCUGGUCUGAGAGGAUGAUCGGCCACACUGGAACGGGGACACGGUCCAGACUCCUACGGGAGGCAGCAGUGGGGAAUAUUGGACAAUGGGCGCAAGCCUGAUCCAGCCAUACCGCGUGGGUGAAGAAGGCCUUCGGGUUUUAAAGCCCUUUUGUUGGGAAAGAAAAGCAGCAGGUUAAUACCCCGCUGUUCUGACGGUACCCAAAGAAUAAGCACCGGCUAACUUCGUG